GAAGAAGAUAAGUUUCACACGUAUAAACUGGGCUUGGGAUUGAUAGCUGACACUUCCUUUGUCAACUUUAUGACAAGGGACCCUUGAUCACACGAUGCUCCUCCAUAAAAGAUAAAAGUAGAGAUCCAAACCGCACUGAUGCAUAUCAAGAACCUUGUGGAGGGGAGGGGGCUGACGUGGGCCACAGAUGCUGAUCUGGGUUGCGUCCGCUCUGCCUCUGGUCCCUGUCGCCAGUCCCUCGUCUCAUGAGUCCUGUUUCCCUGCCCUGGACCCCCACUCUACGGCUUCCUUGGAUUCCGCUCCGGACCUGCUUACCCUGCCCUCACUCCCCUUGCCCCAGCCUCAGUCCCCGCCCGUGCCUGGUCCUGGUCUGCACCCC
ensembl:lncRNA